ensembl:snRNA U4 U4 spliceosomal RNA
AGCUUUGCGCAGUGGCAGUAUCGUAGCCAAUGAGGUUUAUCCAAGGCGCGAUUAUUGCUAAUUGAUAACCGAUUCAAUUUCUUCGCUGGUUAUGGGUCUGUUCAAGCUUUCUAUUUCCUCCUGAUUGAGUUUUGGAAGAGUGUGGGUGUU